CGCCAGUCUGCAUGGAGCCGACCUUGAAAUACCACCCUUUAAUGUUUGAUGUUCUAACGUUGACCCGUGAUCCGGGUUGCGGACAGUGUCUGGUGGGUAGUUUGACUGGGGCGGUCUCCUCCUAAAGAGUAACGGAGGAGCACGAAGGUUGGCUAAUCCUGGUCGGACAUCAGGAGGUUAGUGCAAUGGCAUAAGCCAGCUUGACUGCGAGCGUGACGGCGCGAGCAGGUGCGAAAGCAGGUCAUAGUGAUCCGGUGGUUCUGAAUGGAAGGGCCAUCGCUCAACGGAUAAAAGGUACUCCGGGGAUAACAGGCUGAUACCGCCCAAGAGUUCAUAUCGACGGCGGUGUUUGGCACCUCGAUGUCGGCUCAUCACAUCCUGGGGCUGAAGUAGGUCCCAAGGGUAUGGCUGUUCGCCAUUUAAAGUGGUACGCGAGCUGGGUUUAGAACGUCGUGAGACAGUUCGGUCCCUAUCUGCCGUGGGCGCUGGAGAACUGAGGGGGGCUGCUCCUAGUACGAGAGGACCGGAGUGGACGCAUCACUGGUGUUCGGGUUGUCAUGCCAAUGGCACUGCCCGGUAGCUAAAUGCGGAAGAGAUAAGUGCUGAAAGCAUCUAAGCACGAAACUUGCCCCGAGAUGAGUUCUCCCUGACUCCUUGAGAGUCCUGAAGGAACGUUGAAGACGACGACGUUGAUAGGCCGGGUGUGUAAGCGCAGCGAUGCGUUGAGCUAACCGGUACUAAUGAACCGUGAGG
rnacentral:rRNA from 1 species